GACCCACGACAAAUGGAUCAUAAAGUCUUAAAAAAGAAUAGAUACGAUUGCAUUGCAUGUAUUAACGGAUGCGAUUAUACCAGCAUUAAUGCACCGGAUCCCAUCAGAAAUCUGCAGUUAAGCGUGCUUGGGCGAGAGUUGUACUAGGAUGGGUGACCUCCAGGAAAGUCCUCGUGUUGCAUUCCUCUUUUUUUUCUCGGUUUUUCUCUUUUCUGUUUUGUUAAAAGUAUAUGACUCUAUAACUUUUAGACCGUGAGGCCAAACUUGGCAUGUGAUACCUCUUCGGAAAGCCCAAAGAGAGCUCUCCAACUAAUGAGGAAGGAAAAUGGAAUUCUCCUAUUA
rnacentral:sRNA from 1 species